GGACUUUCAUCUUUGUGCCUCGGCCGCUUCUCCCUUUCUCCCUGCUAUGGCAGAGGAGCUUUUGUCUUCUUCUACAUUAUUAACAAAGAUUUGACUUUCACAUCUAAAAAUCAGAGAAUUGUGUGUCUAUUCUGAGCAAACUUAUCUCUUCUCAUUGCUGCAUUAACACAAAGAGGCAAGGUAGUUUACACUUUAUUCAUUUCCACUUUCUCUUAGCCAAUUUCAAGUAAAAAUCUCUUCUCCUCUCUUCUUUUUUUCUGAUUUCGUUCUGACGAGUCCGUCCUAGACCUCCAACGUUCAAAUCUGAACAGCCUUGACUCAUUUCAAAAUUCUAAUCUCUCAGAUUCCCGCCCAAUGAAACCCUAGUUGUUUCCUCUCCCUAUAAAUAUUUGCUUCAAGUUCAUUUGGGAGGAGGUUUCGGUGGAGCCUCCCCUUUUACCUCUGGAUGUUUUUGCUGCAACUUUUCCCUCUCAAAACAUCCAAUAAAAUACUCUUUGUUUCAUAGUAUUUAUUUUUCAAGAAUAUAAAAUCCAAAUUAGGUUCUCUGUCGACUUCUAGCUGCGGUAGAGAUUUCUUUUUGUUUUAUCGUAUUGCUGUGUUUGUGAGCAAAGUUUGUAGUCCGUUGGAUCUGAAGGACCCCUGCCUCAGUUCACUGCACCCGCGAAAGCAACAUGGAGUCUUCAUAAAAGACUCUCACCGCCACAAGCGGCCUUGCUUUGAGACUUAAUAUUCAUCGCCGCUAGACCCGAAAUGUCCAUCUGCUUCUCAUUCAUCUCUCUCAAAAUGCAUUCAAACACAAAGAAAAGUGAAGAGAGAGGAAAUCCGGGACCUUCAUUUGCUUCUUAAUUCACUCCUCUUAUCCUCCCAAAAAAAUGCAUCCGAACAGAAGCUAGAAAAGAGGGGAGAAGAAAAGAAUGAGCACUGCAUUUUCUAACUUGUCUCUUAUGAUUAAUUCGUUGUUAGUUUUCCUCAUAUGUGAUUGUUUAUUUUACUUAUUCAAGAUUACCAGCCUUAGAAUAUUGAAACCUUUAGAGGGGGUAAUUGGGAUAUUAAGCGAGCUCGAAAGUAAUUUCUAUUUUUUUUACAAAGCUAUAAAUCUAUAAUCUAUUUCACUC